ACCUGGGUGGCUCAGUGGGUUAAGCGUCUGACUUUGGCUCAGGUCAUGGUCUAGGAGUUCGUGAGUUCAAGCCCCACAUCAGGCU
rnacentral:tRNA from 1 species